CCAGACUCCUACGGGAGGCAGCAGUGAGGAAUAUUGGUCAAUGGCCGGAAGGCUGAACCAGCCAAGUCGCGUGAGGGAAUAAGGCCCUAUGGGUCGUAAACCUCUUUUGUCAGGGAGCAAAGGCGUCCACGUGUGGACGAGAGGAGAGUACCUGAAGAAAAAGCAUCGGCUAACUCCGUGCUGGCAGCCGCGGUAAUACGGAGGAUGCGAGCGUUAUCCGGAUUUAUUGGGUUUAAAGGGUGCGUAGGCGGACUGGAAAGUCAGCGGUAAAAUCGGGAGGCUCAACCUCUUUCCGCCGUUGAAACUGUCGGUCUUGAGUGGGCGAGAAGUAUGCGGAAUGCGUGGUGUAGCGGUGAAAUGCAUAGAUAUCACGCAGAACUCCGAUUGCGAAGGCAGCAUACCGGCGCCCGACUGACGCUGAGGCACGAAAGCGUGGGUAUCGAACAGGAUUAGAUACCCGAGUAGU
rnacentral:rRNA from 1 species